GCCAAUGAGAUAAGGAGGCGGGGCUGGAGCGUGUGUGGAAGGACCCCAGGGAUUGUUGUGGCGUCAGACGCGCAGAGUAGCGGUCUGUGUCCACGGCUCGGGUGUUCUCUGCGGCCAUGAGCUACACAGGUUUUGUCCAAGGAUCCGAAACCACUUUGCAGUCUACGUACUGUGACACCAGUGCCCAGCCCACCUGUGAUUAUGGAUAUGGAACUUGGAACUCUGGGACAAAUAGAGGCUACGAGAACUAUGGUUAUGGCUAUGGCUAUGGCCAGGAUAACACCACCAACUAUGGGUAUGGUAUGGCCACUUCACACUCUUGGGAAAUGGCUAGCUCUGACACAAAUGCAAACCCUAGUGCCUCGGGUAGCGCCAGUGCCGAUUCCGUUUUAUCCAGAAUUAACCAGCGCUUAGAUAUGAUGCCGCACUUGGAGACAGACAUGAUACAAGGAGGUGUGUACGGCUCAGGUGGUGGAGAGAGAUAUGACUCCUAUGAGGCCUGUGACUCAAGGGCCAUCCUGAGUGAACGAGACCUCUACCGGUCAAGCUAUGACUAUGGCGAGCUUGACCCUGAGAUGGAAAUGGCCUAUGAGGGCCAAUAUGAUGCCUACCGUGACCAGUUUCGAAUGCGUGGAGGAGAUACAUUUGGUCCAAGGGCUCAGGGCUGGGCCCGGGAUGCCCGGAGUGGACGGCCAAUGGCCUCGGGCUAUGGGCGCAUGUGGGAAGAUCCCAUGGGGGCCCGGGGCCAGUGCAUGCCUGGUGCCUCCCGGCUGCCCUCCCUCUUCUCCCAGAACAUCAUACCCGAGUAUGGCAUGUUCCAGGGCAUGCGUGGUGGGGGUGCCUUCUCUGGUGGCUCCCGAUUUGGCUUUGGAUUUGGCAAUGGCAUGAAGCAGAUGAGGCGUACCUGGAAGACCUGGACCACAGCCGACUUCCGGACCAAAAAGAAGAAGAGAAAGCAGGGUGGCAGUCCUGAUGAGCCAGACAGCAAAGCUACCAGAACAGACUGCUCAGACAACAGUGACUCAGACAAUGAUGAAGGCACUGAGGGGGAAGCUGCAGAGGGUACUGAAAGUGCUGAGGCUAUGGAGAAAGGCUCCCGAGCAGAAGGAGAAGACGAGGAGGGAAAAGAGGAUGGGAGAGAAGGCAAAGAAGAUUCGGAGAAAGCGCCUCUCCAGCCCUUGUUGGGAGUCCGUGUCCCCCCACCUGAGUGAUGAGCGCCAGCAGGUACCUAACAGUAAAUCCAGCCUCAGCCCACUGUUGCCGCGGUGCCCGGUGGGGGGGUGGGCAGGGCCAUGUGAACGGCCUCCCUAUAUCCACCACCCAGUCCCUCGGAACACGCUUGUGUUCCCACCAAGACAGCCUGUCUUUGCCUUCCAGCUUCUCUGCACCCACUCUGCAGAGAGUGUUGGUGUUCCAGAAAAGAGAGGGGUCAGCACGUGUUCCCCCUCUCCCGGUGCCUAAGCCAAAUCUACUUCCUGCUCAGCCCAGGGCACCCAGCCCUGCUCAUGGCCUGAGGGUCUAUGUGUACAGCUGCUCUCAGAUGGACCCUCUGGAGUGGACAGCGGGUGACUCAGCCACAGGCCACAGGGUCUAUUCUGUUAGAGUCCUGUUGGUAACUCUGCUUUUCUGUUACCACAGGGGCCCUGACCGCCCAGGAUGAGAGCAGCCAGGCCAAGCGCAAGUUGCAGGCAAGCAAGAAGAGCCAAGACAAACAGAAAAAGCGGCAGCGAGACCGUAUGGUGGAAAGGUAACUGUCUUCCCUCCAUCCCUCUGCCUCUGCAUCUGCCCUGCUCUGGGGCUACCACCAGGAGAGCAGGGUCAUAGCUCUGCCAUCUCGCCGCCCUCUGACCUCCCUUGGGAGCCACCACCUGCUCUGCUGUGCAUGGACCCUGCUUCCCGCCAGGCCCAGCUCCCAAGUCCUGACUCAUCCCCUGCCCCUCUGUGGCCACCUGGCGACCGCUGCCAUCUGUGGCCUGAGACCUGCCACUGCUCAGCACCACUACCCAGAAGUUCCAGCACUAGGUCACUCAGCACACGAGCCCUGAGGUGCGCAGGGGGCCCGAUGCCCCUGAGGGAGGGGGCCAGCUCAUCAGAGACUCAAGGUCCAAGGCGCCUGUGCCACCCCAGCUAGCUGCCAAGAGGCCGCCACCGUGCCCAGGAGAGAUGACAGCACCUGUGGGCUAUGGCAGCCUCUGGGUCUGCUGUUGGCCCUGCCCACCGGCUCUCUCAGGCCGGGCCUGUCUGUGGCUGAGCCCUUCACGCCCCUUGGUCGGGUCUGUCUGCCCUCAGGGCUCCCGCACUGGCGCUUGCCUCCUCCGCCUCAGACUCUUGCUCUUGCUGGACCUUCCACUCAGCCUCGCCGGCGCCCGGCCCCUGGGCUCUUCAGACAAAGCUGACCCCGUGGCCCAGAUAAGGACGUCCCGGCAGAGGUAGGGACCCGCCCCGAGGCCUCGGUGGCGGCUGGCCUCCUCCGCCCCUUGCCACGGCGGCCUGUUCCAGCCCAGGCCCUAGACCCCAGGCUUCUGCUGUGGACACGAGGCCUAGACAGAGAGCACCUCGCCCAGUGAUUCCAGGCUGCCCUCUGGCAGGCCAGGCGGGCGCCCUCCUUCCAGCUCAGACUGGUCUCUUCUUGGAAGAGGAAGAUGAGGCAGCAGGUGCCCAGGCCUGCCACCUCCCAUCCCUCCUGACACCACCCCCCAGGCAUUCUGAGCAGAGGAUGGGCUGGGCCAUUGAGUCCCCCAGACCUGAGAAGGAAGAUGCAGCACCUUUUCAGGCACUGCCUCGGGACUGCGUACUCCACUCUGCACCUCAGGCCCUCCUGGCUCUCGCCAGGGCAUCCUUCCUUCCGGUCCCCAGCUGGGCCAAAUGCACAAGCUCCUGCCUAGCCUUGGUAGAGAGGCCUUCCGACAACCUUCCAGCGACUCUUUGCCUGUUGCAGUAGUAGCUGCUUCAGGUCUCAGCCUCCUGCCUGUGGGAAGGAAGAGUUCUUCCCCUAACCCCUACGUUGCUGUAACUGCAGCCUACAGACUAUCUAUCCCCUUCUGCUCCCAACCCUACCAGCCCCAGCCUACCCUUCAGCCGGGACUGCACUUCAGAGCGAGGCCUGUUUCAAGGCCUGCACGUGGGUUGGGGUAGCAGUGACCUUUCCUGGGAGCCUUGCGGCCUCAGCCUCGUUUCCCUCCUGUGGCAGGAUCCAGUUUGUGUGUUCUCUCUGCAAAUACCGGACCUUCUAUGAGGAUGAGAUGGGUAGCCACCUUGACAGCAAGUUCCACAAGGAACACUUCAAAUAUGUAGGCACCAAGCUUCCAAAGCAAACUGCUGACUUCCUGCAGGAAUAUGUCACCAACAAGACCAAGAAGACGGAGGAGCUCCGAAAAACUGUGGAGGACCUUGAUGGUCUGAUCCAACAAAUCUACAGAGACCAAGAUCUGACCCAAGAGAUUGCUAUGGAGCAUUUUGUGAAGAAGGUAGAGGCGGCCCACUGUGCAGCCUGUGACCUUUUCAUCCCCAUGCAGUUUGGAAUCAUCCAAAAGCAUCUCAAGACGAUGGAUCACAACCGAAACCGCAGGCUUAUGAUGGAGCAGUCCAAGAAGUCCUCGCUUAUGGUGGCCCGCAGUAUUCUCAACAACAAGCUCAUUAGCAAGAAGCUGGAGCGAUAUCUGAAGGGCGAGAAUCCUUUCACUGACAACCCAGAGGAGGAAAAGGAA